UCAAAUGAUUCAUUUAAACAUAUAGGUACUUCCCAACACAUUUUGAAAUGCAAGUUCUGUCACGACCCGGAACUCCCAUCGAGCCCAUGACAACCGCCGCGACGUCUCGAUACACAUUCAUUACCCGGAAUAUCAAUCGAAACCUCGCAAGGCUUAACAUUAGUUUUUCUCGCUUCCCCUGUGAAUAUUAUUCACUAAAAUUAUGUUUUGAGAGAUUAUAAACAUUUUCCAAAUCAAAACAAUAGAAAAACAAUUUUUUUCUCACAGGGGCAUUUUGGUCAUUUUUCAAAAAUCUCAAAAUCCGCUAAAAAUGUAGUAUGUGAGUACAAAACACAUAAUUCAUAAUCAAAAAUAAAUUUGGAUGUCUAAAACAUUCGUUUAAAAUGAAAUUAUAACUAUUAGAAUAAAAUAAAAAUAUUGAAUAAAAUAUUCAAUUUUCUCAUAAAACAAUAUUUUUAGAACACUAUAUAAAUAAUUUAUACAGCGUAAAAGUAAAAUAAAUUCAUAUAUAUAUCGUAAUACAGUAAGCCAGAGUAUUUAAUUUAAUUUACAGUAACAAGUGGGCCCACGAACGACCAAAAGUAUUAAAAGCAGUAAACCUACAGUUUGGAGGAUGCAAAUCCAAUGGUGGUCCUCGAUGAAAUCAGCUAUCUAUAAACUAUUCUGAGCCUGAAAUUGGUGGAAAUGAGGGUGGUGAGAUUUUAUAAUCCCAAUGAGCAAAAAAAUACCAUUUAAAAUAUCAAAAGCCAAGUAAAUGGAGACAAAUAAAACAGUUUAACAUAGUGUAAUUCAUCACCUUUCAACUUGUUUCAUCCAAAUAAAAUCAAUUCAUAUAAAUCUAGUAAUCAACAUGGCUUAUGAAUUUCUUAAAAGCUUUGGCUCGUGCCAAUAUCAUUCUCAUACCCAGUUAUCAGGGAUGCCUUGAUCGAGGGCUAUCCCAACCGAGUUCACCAAGGCUGUUAAAAGGUUAUGUACACAUAAAUCAUGUUUUUAUUUUGAAAACAUAGCCGUUCCUUGGUGUUGGCUGAGUUCCCCCUCACGUGGUGGUCUGACUUGAAGUGAACUCCAAAAGUGUUAACCUCAGGAGUUAUCCACCAGAGCCUCUCAUAUUGAGGUAAGAUAUAACGGGAUCGUGCCCCUCUAAUAGGCUGGUCCACGGAAACUCAUCCACUGCAAUAAGCUAAUAAUUAUCCCACCAAUCAAUAAAAUUCAAUAACAUGAUAUGGCAAUUAUUGUAAUUCAUAGCCUUUCAAGGCUAAAUACACAGUUCAUAUAUUUCAACACAAAUACCAAUUCAGCCAUUCAUGCAAAUAUUGUCAUAAGCCAUUCGAUUCAAACCAUGAAUUUACAACACAUGAAAUGGUCUCCAAUUACUCUAUUUUAAAGUCAUUAUUCAAUUUUAAAACAAUUUUAUGAAAUCAUUUCAUUAAAUCACAUUUGGUUUAUAAAACCAAAAAAUGAAUCAUUUAAUUAAUUUUCCAUGAAAUUCACAAAAUCAGAUAAAAACCAGUUUAGAUAAUUAAGACAAUAGCAAGUUUACUCACUAUGUCUAAAGUGUGGAUUUUCGAAGUACUCUGACUUCUGGUCCUCGGAUGCAAUUUUCUUGCCUUUAUCGAAGGACUCACCACCUUGACAUAGUACAAAAUCGAGAAACUUACUACAUUGGUACUAAAUUGAAAUUAAACUAAUUUAGACUACUACUGCAUGAUAUGGAAUGCAAAAUGCACGGGUAACCAUCUAAACCCAAUAUUGGCCUAAUUCGUCUUAUCACUCGAUUAAUUGGCCAACGAGUCCAAUUUAGCUCUAAAUUGCUCCAUUUCUUUUCCAAUACCUUAAUUCACCAAACACAAGUCAAAUAACCUAAAAUUUGGCAAAACCAUCUUCACUUUUCUUCUUAGAAUUUUCGGUCAAUAAUGGUGCAUUAACACCGUGAUUUUUCCUACUACUUUUUCACACCAUAAUUCAUCAUUUUCUAACCAAUUCUCUUAAAAUAAAAAAUCAAAUUCAUCCUCACUCAAUACAAGGUAGGUUCGACCAUUGAUGGGUGAUGGGGAAAAUGAAUUCUUUUCUUAUUGUUUUGCUUCUAGACAUGGUAAACUAACUAAAAACACUAACAUAACUUGAAAUCAAAUCAAUCCAACAUCAUUCUCUCUCCAUACCCAUUCGGCUAGCCAUGAAUUCACCAUGAAAACAUGAAAUUUAACCAUGGAAAAUAAGGAGAAAUGCUUAAGGAAAUAGAUUUCAAGUUUAAAUUGAAAAAUCCUACCUUUUUCACUUGUUUUCCUUGAUUUUCCACACUUUUUCUCUUGAAAUUCUCCACCUAGGGUUCUUGUUCUUUCUUUUCUUCCUUUGUUUCUCUUUG
rnacentral:lncRNA from 1 species